GGGUGUGAUCAUACCAGCACUAAUGCAUCGGAUUCUAUCAAAACUCCGCAGUUAAGCGUGCUUGGGCAGAGUAGUACUAAGUUGGGUGACCACUUGGGAAAUUCUCGUGUUGCACCUC